UACGGAGGGGGCGAGCGUUAUUCGGAAUUAUUGGGCGUAAAGGGCGCGUAGGCGGCCUGGUCAGUCGAAGGUGAAAUCCCCGAGCUCAACUUGGGAACUGCCUUCGAUACUGCCGGGCUUGAGUCCGGGAGGGGAGAGUGGAAUUCCCAGUGUAGCGGUGAAAUUCGUAGAUAUGGGGAGGAACACCGGUGGCGAAGGCGGCCAUCUGGACGGAUACUGACGCUGAGACGCGAAAGCGUGGGUAGCAAACAGG
rnacentral:rRNA from 1 species